AAAGCGUUCUGAUUUCAUCAUCCUACUGUGAAUGUGAAAAAUGAUCUUGGAGGGUGUGUAAUGCUUACUCCCAAACCUUUUGUUUUCUGAUUCCAUGGCUACUGCUAAAGUGCUUUCUUUAGAAAAUGCUUUCUGAUUUCAUCAUUCAAUGCUUUCUUUACAUCUGCUUUCUUAUUUUGAUUUAUGCUUUCAUCAUCCUUUCUAAGUUCCAUGCGAGUUCCAUGCUUACUGUUUGUUUUCAUGUCGUCUGAGUUUCAUGCCUACUGUUUGUUUUCUAAUUUUAUAAUCCUUUGAAUUUGAGUAUAGGAUGUUACUGUGAAUUUUGACUAUUGCUUGUUUUGUCAAUUUUGUAGUGAUGGAUUGGAAUCACUUGGUUAUACCCAUUAACUGCUGGAAUAUUUACAUUCAAAUGCUUGUGUAUUUGAUUUUCCUUACGAUUUGGUUAAUAUAAUUGGAGAAUAUAAAUAAUGAAAGAGAAACUUUGGACCAAAGAACAUUCACUAGACUUCAAAUUAGAUCGACCAAAAUAUAACCUACUACAUGCGAAAGUGAUGUAAAUUGUAUAAAUGAAUUGUGAAUGGAUAGAAAUGCUUUUGCAAUUUUGAAUGAUUUGCUUAAAACCUAUGGUGGAUUAUUAUAUGAUGGUAAAUGACAAUCGAGGAAUAAGUUGCUAUAUUUAUAAACAUAUUAGCACACCACACCAAGAAUAGAACUAUUACGUUGCCGGGGUAAACAAUAAGUCGACAUGUUCAUCGAGUGUUGCGUGCUAUAUUGCAUAUGGAAGAUGUGUUGCUUGUCAAACCAACUCCUAUAGAAGAUGAUUGUACGGAUUCACGAUGCAAAUGGCUUAAGGUAAUUAUUGCAACACUAUUUGUACAAUACAAAAUAUAAUGUCAAGAUGAUUGUACGGAUUCACGAUGCAAAUGGCUUAAGGUAAUUAUUGCAACACUAUUUAUACAAUACAUAAUAUAACAUCCAUCUUUUAGCUAAAACCUAUUUACUUUUUGUGCAUAGGGUUGUCUACGAGCAAUGAAUGGAACUUAUGUUGAAGUAAUUAUACCAAUAAACCAAGGUAUCGAACAAGAAAGGGACAUAUUGCAACCAAUGAAUUAGAAAAUGGCAAACUGUUGUGGGUGGACAACGGAUGAGGAAAAAAUGUUGAUCACAAUUCUUCAAGACAUUAUAAUCAAUGGUGGUAGAGGUGACAAUGGAAGUUUUAGGUCAAUACGUAUGAGACUGUUAUCUCAAAGAUGCAGGAAACAAUUCCCAGUAUUAGCAUAACGUCGAAGCACAUACAAAACAAAAUGAAGCGUCUAAAAGAUAAAUAUUCCGAUGCUUAUGACAUGCUAAAUACGAGCGGAUUUGGGUGGAAUGACACAAAUCAAUGUGUGACUGUUGAAGCUCCCUAGAUUUCGGAGGAGUAUUUAAAAAAACAUCCCAACAAGAUCUACACGGCUAAUAAGCCAUUCCCAAUAUACGAGCAGUUUAAGUUGGUGUUCUGGAAAGAUUGUGCAAAGGGAAACAUGACCGAAUCUGCUACAGACGCAUUAGAAAAUAUGGACAUGGAAAAUGAUGAUGAUUUUGCGACUGAAGUCAAUGUUCCCCCCCAUCCCAAGUCCAUCCAAUACAACUUCCCGUUCCUCCAUUCCAAAUGAAGGAGAAGGAACAAGCAAAAAGAGAAAAAGGAUAACCGAUCUAUCCAAGCUAGUGGAAGAAACGUAGAAUGAAAUCCACGAAGCAACCAAUCAAAUGAAAAAGUUGGUUUCAGUGAUCUCAGGUUCUACAACCAAAAUGGAUAGCUUGAGCAAUGAGUUGAAGAGACUUGAACUUGGUGCUAUGGAAAUCAUUUGAAUGGGUAAGUACUUCGAGGAUAAACCAUCCCAAUAUUGGUUUUUGAAGAGUUUGGACGAUGAUGUGAAACUAGAAUUUGUGAAGUCAAUUUAUGAUUAGGACAAGUAAUAGUCUUAGAACAUGGUGAGAACAAUUGUUGUCUUGGAAUGUUCAAAUUUUUUUGGUACACUUCACAUAUGUUUGUAAAGACAAUUGUUGUCUUUGAAUGUUUAAACUUUUGAUGAUGCUAUGACACAUGUUAUUUACGAUUGUUG